AUGCAGGAUCCUAUGAUGGUGAAAAGAUCGUUGGGAACAUUCGAGAUAAAGAUGUGGGUUCUAAUUGAGCUUUUCACUUUUCCGUGUUUGGUUGAUUGUGUAUUCUUAUUUUUAAUGUGUCAUGAUUUUUUUGAUAAUUUGUUUCAUUGUUUUGCAGCCUCGUAUUGUUGA
rnacentral:rRNA from 1 species